GAUGAACGCUGGCGGCGUGCCUAAUACAUGCCAGUCGAGCGAACAGACGAGGAGCUUGCUCCUCUGACGUUAGCGGCGGACGGGUGAGUAACACGUGGAUAACCUACCUAUAAGACUGGGAUAACUUCGGGAAACCGGAGCUAAUACCGGAGAAUAUAUUGAACCGCAUGGUUCAAUAGUGAAAGACGGUUUUGCUGUCACUUAUAGAUGGAUCCGCGCCGCAUUAGCUAGUUGGUAAGGUAACGGCUUACCAAGGCAACGAUGCGUAGCCGACCUGAGGGGGUGAUCGGCCACACUGGAACUGAGACACGGUCCAGACUCCUACGGGAGGCAGCAGUAGGGAAUCUUCCGCAAUGGGCGAAAGCUUGACGGAGCAACGCCGCGUGAGUGAUGAAGGUCUUCGGAUCGUAAAACUCUGUUAUUAGGGAAGAACAAAUGUGUAAGUAACUAUGCACGUCUUGACGGUACCUAAUCAGAAAGCCACGGCUAACUACGUG
rnacentral:rRNA from 1 species